rnacentral:lncRNA from 13 species
GUUAGAGCUAGUGGUGUUGGUGGGAGAGCUAGUAGUGGAGGUAGAGCUAGGUGUGGUGGUGCUAGAGCUAGUGGUGGUGGCAAGAGAGCUAGUAGUGGUGGUAGAGCUAGUGGGGGUGGCGGUAGAGCUAUUGCUGGUGGUGGUGGUGUUAGAGCAAGUGGUGGUAGUAGUAGAGCUAGAGGUUGAGUUAGUGGUGGUAGAUCUAGUGGUGGUAGUGGUGGUAGAUAUGGUCAAACGAGUGGUGGUGGUGGUGGAUCUAGUGGUGGUGGUGGUGGUGGAGCUAGUGGUGGUGAUAGUGGAGCUAGUAGUGGUGAUGGUGGAGCUAUAGGUGGUGAUGGUGGAGCUAGUGGUAGAUCUAGCAGAGAUAGUAGUGGUGGAAGAGUUCGUGGUGGUGGUAGAGCUAGUGGUGAUGGUGUUAAUAUUGUGGUGGUGGAAUAGUUAUUGGUGGUGGUAGAGCUAGUGGUGGUAGAGCUGGUAGAGCUAGUGGUGAUGGUAUUGCGCUAGUGGUGGUAGAGCUAGUUGUGGUGGUGGAGCUAGUGGUGGAUCUAUUAGAGCUGGGGUUGGCGGUAGAGUUUGUGGUGGCGGUAGACUUUGUGGUGGCGGUAGAGCUAGUGGUGGUGGUAGUAGAGCUAGUGGUGGUGGUGGGAGAGCUAGUAUUGGCAGUAGAGCUAGUGGCGGUGGCCGGAGAGCUAGUGGUGGUGGUGGGAGAGCUAGUAGUGGCAGUAGAGCUAGUGGUGGUGGCGGGAGAGCUUGUAGUGGCGUUAGAACUAGUGGUGGUGGUGUUAGAGCUAGUGGUGGUAGAGCUGGUAGAGAUAGAAGUGGUGGUGUUGGAGUAAGUGGUGGUAGUAGAGCUAGUUGUGGUAGUAGAGAUAGCGAUGAUGGUAGAUCUAGUGGUGGUGGAGCUAGUGGUGGAUGUAGUACUGCUAGUGGAGGUGGUAGAGCUAGUAGAGCUAGUGGUGGUAGAGCCUGUGGUGGGGGUACAGCUAGUGGUAGAGCUAGUGGUGGUGGUAGAGCUAUUGGUGAUGGUAGAGCUAGUAGAGCUAGUGGUGCUGGUAGAUCUAAUGAUGGUGGUAGAGCUAGUAGAGCUAGUGGUGGUGGUGGAGUUAGUGGUGUUCACAGCAACACACCUCAGUAAUAUGAACCUAGAGCAGAUGUCACCAAACAGGGACAUUGUGGUGGCGGAAGAGCUAGAGUUGGUGCAGGUAGAGCUAGUGGUGGUGGGAGAGCUAGUAGUGGUGGUGGGAGAGCUGGUGGUGGUGGCGGUAGAGCUAGUGGUGGUGGCAGUAGAGCUAGUGGUGGUGGUAGAGCUAGUGGUGGUGGAGGUAGAGCUAGUUGUGGUAGAGCUAGUGGUGGUAGAGCUGGUAGAGCAAGUGGUGGUGGUAAAGCUGGUACAGCAAGUGGNNNNNNNNNNCUGUGGUGGGGGUACAGCUAGUGGUAGAGCUAGUGGUGGUGGUAGAGCUAUUGGUGAUGGUAGAGCUAGUAGAGCUAGUGGUGCUGGUAGAUCUAAUGAUGGUGGUAGAGCUAGUAGAGCUAGUGGUGGUGGUGGAGUUAGUGGUGUUCACAGCAACACACCUCAGUAAUAUGAACCUAGAGCAGAUGUCACCAAACAGGGACAUUGUGGUGGCGGAAGAGCUAGAGUUGGUGCAGGUAGAGCUAGUGGUGGUGGGAGAGCUAGUAGUGGUGGUGGGAGAGCUGGUGGUGGUGGCGGUAGAGCUAGUGGUGGUGGCAGUAGAGCUAGUGGUGGUGGUAGAGCUAGUGGUGGUGGAGGUAGAGCUAGUUGUGGUAGAGCUAGUGGUGGUAGAGCUGGUAGAGCAAGUGGUGGUGGUAAAGCUGGUACAGCAAGUGGUGGUGGUUUCUACCUUCUUAACAACACUGUCAACAAGGUAGGUCCUACAGGCUCUAGUUUCUACCUUCUUAACAGCACUAUCAAAACAGGAAUGUCAGUGUUCUGCCAUGGCCAGCGAACAGCCCGGAUCUCAAUCCCGUUGAGCAAGUCUGGGACCUGUUGGAUCUGAGGGUGAAGGCUAGGGCCAUUCCCCCCAGAAAUGUCUGGGAACUUGCAGGUGCCUUGGUGGAAGAGUGGGGUAACAUUUCACAGCAAAGAACUGGCAAAUUUGGUGCAGUCCACGCAGAGGAGAUGCACUGCAGUUCUUAAUGCAGCUGGUGGCCACACCAGAUACUGACUGUCACUUUUGAUUUUGACCUCCCCCGUUGUUCAGGGACACAUUAUCCAAUUUCUGUUAGUCACAUGUCUGUGGAAGUUUAUGUCUCAGUUGUUGAAUCUUGUUAAUAUUUACACAUUUUAAGUUUGCUGAAAAUAAACACAGUUGACAGUGAGAGGACAGUUCUUAUUUUGCUGAGUAUAUAUAUUGUAGUUACUCCACAAUACUAACCUAAAUGACAAAUUGAAAAAGGAAGCCUGUACAGAAUACAAAUAUUCCAAAACAUGCAUCCUGUUUGCAAUAAGGCACUAAAGUAAAACUGCUAAAAUGUGUCAAAGAAAAUAUACUUAAUGUCCUGAAUUCAAAGCGUUAUGUUUCUGGCAAAUCCAACAACACAGAGUACGACACUUAUAUUUUCAAGCAUGGUGGUGGCUGAAUCAUGUUAUGGGUAUGCUUGCCUUUGGCAGGGAGUUUUAUUUGUAAAAAUACAUGGAAUAGGGCUAAGCACAGGUAAAAUAGUUUAGGAAUACAUGGUUCAGUCUGCUUUCCAACAAACACUGGGAGAUGAAUUUAGAUUUCAGCAGGACAAUAACCUAAAACACAAGGAGUUGCUUAAUAAAACGACAUUGAAUGUUCCUAUGGGGCCUACAGUUUUGACAAAUUGAUUUGAAAAUGACUGUCUAGUAAUGAUCAACAACCAACUUGACAGAGCUUGAAGAAUUUAAAAAAUAAUCAUGUGCAAAUAUCAGAAAGACUCACUGUUGUAAUCUCUGCCAAAGGUGAUUCUAAUAUGUAUUGACUCAGGGUGUGAAUACUUAUGUAAAAUAGCUAUUUAUCUAUUUCAUUUUCAAUAAAUAUGCAAACAAUUCUCAAAACAUGUUUUCACUGUCAUUAUGGAGGAUUUUGUGUAGAUGGGUGAGAAAAAUAUAUUUAAUCCAUUUUGAAUUCAGGCUGUAACAACAAAAUGUGGAUUAGGUCAAGGGCUAUGAAUACUUUAUGAAGGCACUGUAGCUCCUUUAACACACACAGUACAGACACACAGUAAGGUUAAACACAUCAACAGAGGACCCAUGGCAAUAAUGAUCUUUAAUGGCAAUAUAUACAGAACUUGAAAGAAAAAUAUAAUUUUAUAAAUGAAAUAAAUACAAUAUGGUACAAUUUCCACAAUGUCUUAAAGAGUCAUGGAAAUGAUCUGUUUUGUAAUUCAGCUUCUCUGUAAGUCUCUUCCCACAGACAGACACUCUCCUUCCCACGUCUCACCCCCCUCACAGAAAUAACCCAACAGUACCACCAUCAUCUCCUUCUCAUUGACCAGUUGUUGUUUUUAUGCACAGGAUGCUUGUUUGCUUUUCUACAGUCACGGUCACAGUCACAGUCAGGGAUCAGACAGAGUCUACCUUCACGAUCACAGUCAGGGAUCAGACAGUCUACCUUCACGGUCACAGUCAGGGAUCAGACAGAGUCUACCUUCACGAUCACAGUCAGGGAUCAGACAGUCUACCUUCACGAUCACAGUCAGGGAUCAGACAGAGUCUACCUUCACGAUCACAGUCAGGGAUCAGACAGAGUCUACCUUCACGAUCACAGUCAGGGAUCAGACAGAGUCUACCUUCACGAUCACAGUCAGGGAUCAGACAGAGUCUAUCUUCAUGAUCAUCACAGUUACAGUUAGGGAUCAGACAGACAAAUCGGUUGAGACAAAGAGGAAGUGUGUGUGUCAGAACAGAGAGUUGGCAGGCUUUUUUGAUGCUGGAGUACUGUAUGCAGUCAGCCUACAGAGGAGAGGGAGACAGAGAGAGAGGAGAGAGUGAGACAGAGAGAGAAUACGGGAGGGAGAGAGAGGAGAGACAGAGAGAGAAUAUGGGAGGGAUAGAGAGAGAGACAGAGAGAGAGGGAGACGGAGAGAGAG